rnacentral:rRNA from 1 species
UGCUACAGGCUUAACACAUGCAAGUCGAGGGGCAGCAUGGUCUUAGCUUGCUAAGGCCGAUGGCGACCGGCGCACGGGUGAGUAACGCGUAUCCAACCUGCCUUACACUCUUGGACAGCCUUCUGAAAGGGAGAUUAAUACAAGAUGUUAUCAUGAGUAAGCAUUUUCACAUGAUUAAAGGUUUACCGGUGUAAGAUGGGGAUGCGUUCCAUUAGAUAGUAGGCGGGGUAACGGCCCACCUAGUCUUCGAUGGAUAGGGGUUCUGAGAGGAAGGUCCCCCACAUUGGAACUGAGACACGGUCCAAACUCCUACGGGAGGCAGCAGUGAGGAAUAUUGGUCAAUGGACGAGAGUCUGAACCAGCCAAGUAGCGUGAAGGAUGAAGGUUCUAUGGAUUGUAAACUUCUUUUAUACGGGAAUAAACGGAUCCACGUGUGGAUUUUUGCAUGUACCGUAUGAAUAAGGAUCGGCUAACUCCGUGCCAGCAGCCGCGGUAAUACGGAGGAUCCGAGCGUUAUCCGGAUUUAUUGGGUUUAAAGGGAGCGUAGAUGGGUUGUUAAGUCAGUUGUGAAAGUUUGCGGCUCAACCGUAAAAUUGCAAUUGAUACUGGCAGUCUUGAGUACAGUUGAGGUAGGCGGAAUUCGUGGUGUAGCGGUGAAAUGCUUAGAUAUCACGAAGAACUCCGAUUGCGAAGGCAGCUUACUAACCUGUAACUGACAUUGAUGCUCGAAAGUGUGGGUAUCAAACAGGAUUAGAUACCCUGGUAGUCCACACGGUAAACGAUGAAUACUCGCUGUAGGCGAUAUACAGUCUGCGGCCAAGCGAAAGCAUUAAGUAUUCCACCUGGGGAGUACGCCGGCAACGGUGAAACUCAAAGGAAUUGACGGGGGCCCGCACAAGCGGAGGAACAUGUGGUUUAAUUCGAUGAUACGCGAGGAACCUUACCCGGGCUUAAAUUGCAACCGAAUAUGGCGGAAACGCUAUAGCUAGCAAUAGCGGUUGUGAAGGUGCUGCAUGGUUGUCGUCAGCUCGUGCCGUGAGGUGUCGGCUUAAGUGCCAUAACGAGCGCAACCCUUGCCGAUAGUUACUAACAGGUCAUGCUGAGGACUCUGUCGGGACUGCCAUCGUAAGAUGUGAGGAAGGUGGGGAUGACGUCAAAUCAGCACGGCCCUUACGUCCGGGGCUACACACGUGUUACAAUGGGGGGUACAGAGGGCUGCUACCACGCAAGUGGAUGCCAAUCCCAAAAACCUCUCUCAGUUCGGAUUGAAGUCUGCAACCCGACUUCAUGAAGCUGGAUUCGCUAGUAAUCGCGCAUCAGCCACGGCGCGGUGAAUACGUUCCCGGGCCUUGUACACACCGCCCGUCAAGCCAUGGGAGCCGGGGGUACCUGAAGUGCGUAACCGCAAGGAGCGCCCUAGGGUAAAACUGGUGACUGGGGCUAA